rnacentral:rRNA from 1 species
GACGGGGGGGGGCAAGUGUUCUUCGGAAUGACUGGGCGUAAAGGGCACGUAGGCGGUGAAUCGGGUUGAAAGUGAAAGUCGCCAAAAAGUGGCGGAAUGCUCUCGAAACCAAUUCACUUGAGUGAGACAGAGGAGAGUGGAAUUUCGUGUGUAGGGGUGAAAUCCGUAAAUAUACGAAGGAACGCCAAAAGCGAAGGCAGCUCUCUGGGUCCCUACCGACGCUGGGGUGCGAAAGCAUGGGGGAGCGGAACAGG